CUUGGGGGCAGGGCACCGAGUCCACGCUGUCCCUGCUUAGAUUUCCCCUCCCGUGUCUGGGGAAAGACUUACCAUCAUUUUCACUUUGGAUCGAGGGCAGGGAACACAGUGCAGCGUGCAGCGGACCCGGCCACGGUGACCACAACCAUGUCCCCAUCAGCUCCUGCAUGCWGAGGCUGCAGGCCAGGCCCAGCUGCCCCCACACAGACUCCAAGAGCGAAGGGGCCUGGUGUCCAGGCUGCCCACGUGGCCUUGUCUUGUUGGUCUGCUUGUCCUCAGGUUCAAAACUUCAGGUCAAGACUUUUUAAACAGCCCUCCAGGGGCCUCUCACCGUCUCCCCGGGGCCACUGUGAGUGUGUCUGUGCUGUGCUGCAGCCGGGCCUCGCCUCGCUGGUUCAAUAAACCCUGCCAGGCCCCCCACCUGGCUGGGCCAUGGACACCCCUCUCCAUGUCCUGCGUGUGGACUACACAGGACACCUCUGGUCCCUCAACAAGGACACGGUCUCCUUCUUCUGUGUUCCUGACCUUUAGCACAUAGUAGGUACUCAAUAAAUGCAUUGAAU
ensembl:lncRNA